GGGCUUGUAGAUCAACUGGAAGAUCGCUACCUUCGCAAGGUAGAGGCUGCGGGUUCGAGUCCCGCCGAGUCCA
rnacentral:tRNA from 1 species